rnacentral:rRNA from 1 species
AUUCCGAUUACGAGGAACAAUUGGAGGGCAAGUCUGGUGCCAGCAGCCGCGGUAAUUCCAGCUCCAAUAGCGUAUACUAAAAUUGUUGCGGUUAAAAAGCUCGUAGUUGCAUUUGUGCGCCGCGCUGUCGGUGCACCGCAUCCGCGGUGAUACUGACACGUCUGCGGAGCAUAUCGUCGGUGAGCCGUCGGUCAAACGUCGGUUCAAUAUCAAAAUCCUAUCGCGGUGCUCUUCAAUGAGUGUCGAGGUGGGCCGACAAUUUUACUUUGAACAAAUUAGAGUGCUCAAAGCGGGCUCAAAAUGCUGCUUGAAUAUUUCGUGCAUGGAAUAAUAGAAUAUGAUCUCGGUUCUAUUUUGUUGGUUUUCAGAACUCCGAGGUAAUGAUUAAUAGGGAUAACUGGGGGCAUUCGUAUUGCGACGUUAGAGGUGAAAUUCUUGGAUCGUCGCAAGACGAACAUCAGCGAAAGCAUUUGCCAAAGGUGUUUUCAUCAAUCAAGAACGAAAGUUAGAGGUUCGAAGGCGAUUAGAUACCGCCCUAGUUCUAACCGUAAAUAUGUCAUCUAGCGAUCCGCCGACGUUACUACAAUGGCUCGGCGGGCAGCUUCCGGGAAACCAAAGAUUUUGGACUCCGGGGGGAGUAUGGUUGCAAAGCUGAAACUUAAAGGAAUUGACGGAAGGGCACCACCAGGAGUGGAGCCUGCGGCUUAAUUUGACUCAACACGGGAAAUCUCACCAGGCCCGGACACCGGAAGGAUUGACAGAUUAACAGCUCUUUCUUGAUUCGGUGGGUGGUGGUGCAUGGCCGUUCUUAGUUGGUGGAGCGAUUUGUCUGGUUAAUUCCGGUAACGAACGAGACUCUAGCCUGCUAAAUAGGCGUCGUCAUUUAGGUGUGCGUGGCUCCGUCACGCAACUCACUGGCGACGUAUUAAAAUUCUUCUUAGAGGGACCGGCGGCUUCGAGCCGCACGAGAUUGAGCAAUAACAGGUCUGUGAUGCCCUUAGAUGUCCUGGGCCGCACGCGCGCUACACUGAAGGAAUCAGCAUGUUCUCCCUGGCCUAGAGGCCCGGGCAACCCGCUGAAACUCCUUCGUGCUGGGGAUUGGGGUUUGCAAUUAUCCCCCAUAAACGAGGAAUUCCUAGUAAGCGCGAGUCAUAAGCUCGCGUUGAUUACGUCCCUGCCCUUUGUACACACCGCCCGUCGCUACUACCGAUUGAAUGAUUUAGUGAGGUCUUCGGACCGACACGCGGUGGCUUCACGGCCGUCGGCGUUGCUGGGAAGUUGACCAAACUUGAUCAUUUAGAGGAAGUAAAAGUCGUAACAAGGUUUCCGUAGGGGAACCUGCGGAAG